rnacentral:rRNA from 1 species
GAUGAACGCUGGCGGCGUGCCUAAUACAUGCAAGUCGAGCGAAGCGGUGACUGGUGAGUAACAUGUGGAUAACCUCCUAUAAUACUGGUAUAACUUCGGGAAACCGGAGCUAAACCGUAUACUUAUACAUGGAUCCGCGCUGCAUUAUCUAGUUGGUUAGGUAACGGCUUACCAAGGCAACGAUGCAUAGCCGAACUGAGAGUGUGAUCGGGCAAACUGGAACGGAGAAACGGUCCAGUAGCGUACGAGAGGAGGCAGUAGGGAAUCUGCCGCAAUGGGCGAUAGCCUGACGGAGCAACGCCGCGUGAGUGAUGAAGGACAUCGGAUAUUAAAAAUCUGUUAUUAGGGAAGCGGUACAUAAUCAGAAAGACACGGCUAACUACGUGCCAGCAGCCGCGGUAAUUC